ensembl:miRNA gga-mir-1708 gga-mir-1708
CUGACCUAAUGCUUGGGAUGGGGUGUGGAAUGAAUCCUUGUUUGCUUCUGAGGAAGGAUUGAUUGUUCACCCUCAUUCUGAAAUUAGAAAGCAG